UGGUUUUACUGGGUUCUGCAUCAGAUCCUCGCAUACAAGGUGACUUCACAAAUUUAGCCAAUAAGUUGUAUAGCCGAGUGAAGCUAUGUUUGACCUAUGCUACGACGAGCCACCAUCACAUUUGCAACAUGCUAAAGAGCAAAAUGACACCAAACUAAUGGAAAAUGUAAUCCAUGUUCUAUCAAGAUAUUUCUUACCGCUGCAACCAGGCACAACUGACAUAGUCUUCAGUCGAUGCCAUGCAGACGGACAUGGAGGUUGUGUUCGAGGUGCUGAAGAGCCUAGAGGACGUUGAGGAGCUGGACCCCGAGUGGCUGCAUGAUCCUCACAAGCUGCACACGUGCGUGGAGAAGGACACCUCCUUGUCGGACUCGUGCGGCGUCGACCCAUUCGGGCUGGUGGUGAUGGCGCCCGAAGGCAUGCAGAGCAGGAGCAGAUCACCGUAUUCUUCAGGGAGUGACCAGGAUCUCAGCUUCUCGAUCUAUGCUUCUUUGUGAUUUCUCUUCUAAUUUGUCUACCUCCUUUUUCUGCCCGCAGAUUGGAGCAAGAGCAAGGUGGUCAGAUCUAGAUCGAAAGUCAGUGAGACGAAAGCCGUUUUUACCUCAUUGGUCAAGCAACACUAUUCACUCUUUGAUGCAACAUGGGAAGCUUUAUUUCCUGAAGCACUAGCUGGGAAGUCAGUGAGACGAAAGCUCAUGAGGGCAGGUCCAAGGGCACUGAUCUUCCCAGCACCUGCAAACGCUACCUCAGCAACCAUGCGCCUCUUGAAGAUCACCUGGGCAGAGCUGGCACUGUUUGCAACAUCUGCCUUCACUUCAUUGACAUGACCGUAUUGGCUAAAGAUCUUGAUAAGGUCACACUUUGUAGGAUAAAUGCAUGGUCUGCUGAAGUGCAGCACCAGAUUUUCUCUCUGCUGAAGACCACAUGCUGCUACAGAGAGCUGCCAUAGCAUUUCUCCACAGAUGCAAGCCCAACCAUUCUGUUCUUCCAAUAAAAUACUGGUAUGGUGAGAGUGAUGGUUAUCCUUCUCAGAAAGGGAGAGAUCAAGAAAGAUGAGAUAUAAAUUCAUAUGCUACCAGAACAAGAAAGAUGAGAGCGGUUGGUGGCCGAGACUCCUAAAAAAGGACCUAUGUUCUUGAAGGUUGACUGGACAAAUGGUAUGACGAGGAUGUCGAAGAUGUUGGAUGUUAGAAUUUCACUUUUGGUUGAUUAUGUUUUUUCUUAUGCACCUGACAAAUCUAGAUAUGCAACUAGACAUGCUUUAUUCUUGUUCCUGUUUUGUUUUCCUUAUGUAUUAAUUCCUUAACUUGUAAUGCACAUGAUGUUUUCCUUAUGUAUUAAUUCCUUAA